AUAUUUGCCUGGCGAAGAGGCUACCGUGAUCAGGAAGACGAUUCUUCCAGAGUAAGGUUCUUCUUCUAUUGCACUACGGUCGAGCUGACCCUUGCGAAUAUCCCUAAAGUUGAUAUCUCGGGCGUAUAAUUUUUGGUAGAAAGAACGUUGACUAGCAUUUAAUCAUG
rnacentral:snRNA from 1 species